ACGAACGCUGGCGGCAUGCCUAACACAUGCAAGUCGAACGAGACCUUCGGGUCUAGUGGCGCACGGGUGCGUCACGCGUGGGAACCUGCCCUUAGGUUCGGAAUAACUCAGAGAAAUUUGAGCUAAUACCGGAUAAUGUCUUCGGACCAAAGAUUUAUCGCCUUUGGAUGGGCCCGCGUAGGAUUAGCUUGUUGGUGGGGUAAUGGCCUACCAAGGCGACGAUCCUUAGCUGGUCUGAGAGGAUGAUCAGCCACACUGGGACUGAGACACGGCCCAGACUCCUACGGGAGGCAGCAGUGGGGAAUAUUGGACAAUGGGCGAAAGCCUGAUCCAGCAAUGCCGCGUGAGUGAUGAAGGCCUUAGGGUUGUAAAGCUCUUUUACCAGGGAUGAUAAUGACAGUACCUGGAGAAUAAGCUCCGGCUAACUCCGUG
rnacentral:rRNA from 1 species